rnacentral:rRNA from 1 species
UGCUAUNGGAUUGAUANUAAGCCNUGNGAGUCANNUAGUAAUACAAGGCAGACGGCUCAGUAACGCGUAGUCAACCUACCCUAUGGACGGGGAUAACCUCGGGAAACUGGGAAUAAUACCCGAUAGANCAUUAUGCCUGGAAUGGUUUAUGUUUCAAAUAAUUUAUUGCCGUAGGAUGGGACUGCGGCCUAUCAGUUUGUUGGUGAGGUAAUGGCCCACCAAGACUAUUACAGGUACGGGCUCUGAGAGGAGUAGCCCGGAGAUGGGUACUGAGACACGGACCCAGGCCUUAUGGGGCGCAGCAGGCGAGAAAACUUUGCAAUGUGCGAAAGCACGACAAGGUUAAUCCGAGUGGUUUCUGCUAAAGGAACCUUUUGUCAGUCCUAGAAACACUGAUGAAUAAGGGGUGGGCAAGUUCUGGUGUCAGCCGCCGCGGUAAAACCAGCACCUCAAGUGGUCAGGAUGAUUAUUGGGCCUAAAGCAUCCGUAGCCUGCUUUGUAAGUUUUCGGUUAAAUCCAUACGCUCAACGUAUGGGCUGCCGGGAAUACUGCAAAGCUAGGGAGUGGGAGAGGUAGACGGUACUCGGUAGGAAGGGGUAAAAUCCUUUGAUCUAUUGAUGACCACCUGUGGCGAAGGCGGUCUACCAGAACACGUCCGACGGUGAGGGAUGAAAGCUGGGGGAGCAAACCGGAUUAGAUACCCGGGUAGUCCCAGCUGUAAACUAUGCAAACUCAGUGAUGCAUUGGCUUGAUGCCAAUGCAGUGCUGCAGGGAAGCCGUUAAGUUUGCCGCCUGGGAAGUACGUACGCAAGUAUGAAACUUAAAGGAAUUGGCGG